ensembl:lincRNA
AUGCAAGGGGGGAAAGUGCCUGCUCGCCUCUUUGUUCCCUCUCUCAUUGACGUAUUUACUGAUUUGUUAAGUUUGUUCCUUCGUUCCUUUGUUCAUUCGUUCUCUAGCCGCCUCUUCCUUCGCCCCGGCCCCCGACUCCAACUCCCCCGAUGCCCCGGCGAACGAAUGUCCCGUGACUCUCUCUUGGGUGGACUGAGAUGUACUUCUCGCAGACCUGGCGCUGAAAUCCGUCGCGGUUGUGGUUGUAGACUGACUGCAGUCGGUCACAGAAGAGGCGAGCCAGGCCGCCCCGGCGGGGGCGGGGCAGCGUCCCUUGACUUCCUGCUUCCGGUGCGCAUGCGCUCGGCGACGUUCCUGGUCCGUGAGGAGGAAAGAUACGGAAGAAUAUUGGUUUGCUAUGUGCCGUGGAACCGGCCGCCUCAGUUCCAGUAUCUGGAGCUUUGCACUCAUCCACCCACGUUUGGACUCAGCUCUACAAUGUCCGUCAUGCGGCGAGGCCUUGGAAGUGGCCCGUGUGGUGUCUUCUGUGUGCCACCAGAUGAAUCGUGUCCUGACAAACCAGCCUCUUAGCAGCGGGGAUUGGAUGCAGCAGAGUGCCAAAGCUAUGUCUAUUUCUGUGUCUCUGGACCUCCCUUCCUGACUUCUGAGAUUUUGAGUCAAAGAGUUCUCGUCUGGAGAGACUGGAUUUGAAAAGGAAGGAUGGACAAGAAUGAGAGGCAAGGCGUCUCAUCAUUUAAUUAAUUAAAUUCCUCAUUUAUCCAGUUAUUUAAUGAUUGAUCAAGUUCAUUUCAAGGUGGUAGACAGAUUGGUUUACAUACAUGAGAUACUGAGAUCAGGAAGACAAAAAUAAAUCAAGCCAAGCCAGGCCAUGAAAAUGACAGCUGAGAGAUGAAAAAGAAGGGCAGACAGUAAGUACAGUGGCAAGAAGACAGAGCAGCCAGAAAAGACUGGCUGGGCAGCAGGAAAGAGGCCGAGAGUGAGUGAGGUGCGAGGGGUGGCCAGGAGCCCGAAGUGAGCAGCCAGGAGGAGAGGGAGGGCGGGAGGAAGGAGGGCCCCAAGUGGCUCGAGUGGCUGGACAGAAGCGGUCAGAGGUGGCCCACGGUGGCCAGCCAGCAGCAAAAGCCGCCAGAGGCUGGACCCUGCCUGCCUGCCUGCUGCCUGGCUGGCUGGCUGGCCGGCUGAAGCCUGAAGCCUGAAGCCUGAAGCCGAGACAGGGAGAAAGAGAAAGAGCAAGCCAAAAGAGGCAAAGGGGAUGGAGAAAAGCAAAGGCAGAGUGAAAACAGGCAAGUGGCCCUGACCACAAAGCAGAGCGAGAACCAAAGAUGGCCAGAGGGCUAGAGGACAGCAGAGACAGACACAGACACAGACAGAGACAGACAGAGGCAGAGAGAGACAUGCAGAGAGACAGAGAUGCAAACAGAGUCAAAGGCCCUGAGAAAUGCACGGAGAGGGGGCAAGGGGGCGGAUAGGCGGUAAAGGGGAUAGGACAGGGUAGGAGGAUGAAAACGGGGAGGGAGCAGAGAGAGGCAAAGGGACUGAGGCAUGUUUGUGUAGGACAGAAUGUGGGAAUCCAAGCAGCCAGACUGAGGCAGAGGCGCACAUCUGGAAUCAACUGAGCUGAGCUGAGCUAACCCCUAAACUAAUCUGAGUAUGUUAGGGUUACAGGUGGGGAUCUGUGUGUGUGUGUGUUUGUUGUUAUGGUGUGUAAAAUAGUGGGGAGGGAGACAGUGAAAAGAGACAUGGGUGGGGCCACAUAAACAGCUGAGAGCCAGCCCCCAAAAAGAGCAGGGGCAGGAAAAAAAGCAGAGAUUGAAAAGCAGCUGAGGAAAUGGAGAAAAGUGCCCACAGCGGGCCCUGAAAACAAAAGCAGAUAGAACCAAAAAUAGGAAAAUGUCCCCAGGACAGCAGAGAUGGAGAGAGAGAGAGACAGAGAGAGAGCAGGCAAAGAGGCAAAGGGGAUGGAGAGAAGCAAAGACAGUGAAAACAGGCAAGGGAUCCCAGAAUCAGAAGCAGAGAGAAGCAAAAAUAGCCACAGGGCCAGAGGAAGGCAGACACACAGAGAGACAGAGACAGCUAGAGAGAGAGAGAGAGACAGAGACAAAGAGAGAGAGAGAGAGAGAGAGAGAGAGGCAGAAAGAGAUGCAAAAGGAGUCAAGGGGCCCCGAGAACAUCACAGCGAGGGGGCAGGUGGGUGGUAAAAGGGACAGGACGGGGGAUCAGAGAGGCAAAGGCACUGAAGGGCGUUUGUCUAGGACAGAUGUGGGAAUCCCAGCAGUGAGAUACUGGCAGAGGCGCACAUCUGGAAUCCACGGAGCAGAGCUGAGCUGAGCUGAGCUGUGUGUGUUAGGCUCACAGGUGAGGAUCAAGGCAUGGGGGUGUGUGUGUGUGGUGUUAGGGUCUGAGAGAAAGCGGGGAGGGAGAGAGCGAAAAGAGGCCUGAGGCCAGCAAAACAGCUGAGAGACAGCUAAAAGCCAGGGCCAGGUGCAUGGCAGAAAGCUGAGCGAGAGAGAGUGAAAAGAGGCCAAGGGAAUGGAAAGCCGAGAGUGCAAAAUGGCCCCAAAAGACCUUGAAAACAUCAGCAGAGAGAACCAAAAGUAGGCAAAGACAGAGACAGAGAGGAGGCAAACGGGACUCAAGUGGGUUUGUGAAUGAUCUAGGAGUCAGUCCUAGCGGUGGCCCAAAGGAGAGAGACAUUCGGAGUAUAGUUAGCCCAGCCGAGCCGAGCCCAGCCAAACUGCAUGUGCUAGGGUUAUAGGUGAUCAUCAGGGCAUCUGUGUGUGUUGUUAGAGUUAGGGUGUGGAUGGAUGGAUGGAUGAGGGGGGAGUACGUGUGUGUUGUGAACCUGCACUGAUCGGUGCAAAAUGCGAGUCCAGGAGGCUGGGAAGCUUAAGUAGCCAGACCUUAACACUCUCUCCGGGUUUUUUCCCCCUAUAGGGCUCUUGAUCCAAGAACCACCAAACCAGAGAGAUAUCACGCUGGAAAUGAGAUUCAGCUACAGUCUGACGUGAAUUUACGCUCAGCAUCUGACAGACUGACACCCCCGUCUCCCCGUCUCCCUUGGGGUUGAUUUUUCUCUCCUGUGUGUGUGGGGGGCAUUAAGGGGGCACGGCUCACCCUGCUCACUGUCUCUGUCUGCUUUUCUCAUGAUACUUGUACAGUGAGUGCUUUUGCUGUGUUUCAUGAUGUUACCUUUGGAACAGAGAAACACAGUAAAUUUUUCCAUGGGGAAAAAUUCUACCAGAGUCUUGAGUUGUUUCUUUGGUUGAACAGACAGAGCACCUUCCUGGGUGGGGGCCAUCUAAUCCUGCAUCAGAGUGGACAUUCCUUGGGAGGUGUGGGG